UAGGUCUCUUGAUAGAGAGGAAUUUGGAUAUAUGGCAUCUAGAUUGUAGUGCCAAUUUGCAAGUUCUUUUUUUAUUAUUCACUUUGUCUAUGUUUUCAUAUAAGAAUCUUGCUAGUAAAGAGUUUAUAAUUAUGUGAGUUGACUUGGGUUGUGAUAUUCAUUCAUUAAGGUUAAGUAAAAAGUAUAAUAAAAAACUGGGUUGUGAUAUUCAUUGAUUGAGGUUAGGUAAAAGGUAUAAUAAAAAACUUAAUAGUUGCUUAUAGAACUCCGAAAAAACUUAUAAAAAACUAGGUUGUCAAUGUGUUUUUGGACAUGUGUUGUUAUCAAAUCUGAAAUCCAACCACUACUUUGGACUUGUGCUGUUAUCAUAACCCAAUCUGCUAGCUUGCUGGAUAACAACAUUCAUUGAUAUAAUACCAUAGUACCUAUUAAUGGUGCUGCAUGUUUUUGGACUUAGCAUUAACAUGGAUUGUCCUGAGGCUUAUUAGGGAUGGUUUUGAAGCCUCUCUCUGUAGAACUUCCUGGCCUGCAACCAUUGGUCGCCCUUCAGUGUUUGAAUUUACAGGUGAUUAUGAAUAUAUAUAUGUUUUGAUGAAGGACAACAAUGGUGGUGGUGAUGAAACAGAGAGGUUGAUAGCGGACAUGGAUUUCAGGUCUUAGUUUGAUCUAGCAAGGCCUACUUCAACAUACACAGAGCUCACAGCUUCUCUGCCUUCCAUAAUUGUUGGGAGUGAAGAGAAACUAAUGGAGAUAAUAUGUUUGGUUUGCUUAGCAAAUAGCAUCAACAAUUUUCUCAAGACUACUCAGAGAUGGAAUUUAAAUUUGAUUGUAUUGUUCAGCUACUGCCAAAUUUAGGGGAUGUUUGUUAUAGCUUUUUGUUUUUUGAAAAGAAAAAAAAAUAAAAAUCAUGAAAACUUGUUUGAUAGAAGUAUUGUUUUCGUGUUCCUAUAUGAAUUGUUGAGGCUAUGCCACAAAGUUUUGUUCUUUUAUUGUUACCUUUAAAAAGGAAAAAGUUUUGAUGA